rnacentral:rRNA from 1 species
UACGUAGGGUGCAAGCGUUAAUCGGAAUUACUGGGCGUAAAGCGUGCGCAGGCGGUUGUGCAAGACAGAUGUGAAAUCCCCGGGCUUAACCUGGGAAUUGCAUUUGUGACUGCACGGCUAGAGUGUGUCAGAGGGGGGUAGAAUUCCACGUGUAGCAGUGAAAUGCGUAGAUAUGUGGAGGAAUACCGAUGGCGAAGGCAGCCCCCUGGGUCAAGAUUGACGCUCAUGCACGAAAGCGUGGGGGAGCAAACAGG